ACCUGGAUAGCUCAGUUGGUUAGAGCAUGGUGCUGCUAAUGGCAAGGUCGCAGGUUCAAUUCCCGUAAGGGA
rnacentral:tRNA from 1 species